AUGCUGGAGGUAUCAGAAGUGCGAAUGCUGACAUAAGUAACGAUAAAGCGGGUGAAAAGCCCGCUCGCCGGAAGACCAAGGGUUCCUGUCCAACGUUAAUCGGGGCAGGGUGAGUCGACCCCUAAGGCGAGGCCGAAAGGCGUAGUCGAUGGGAAACAGGUUAAUAUUCCUGUACUUGGUGUUACUGCGAAGGGGGGACGGAGAAGGCUAUGUUGGCCGGGCGACGGUUGUCCCGGUUUAAGCGUGUAGGCUGGUUUUCCAGGCAAAUCCGGAAAAUCAAGGCUGAGGCGUGAUGACGAGGCACUACGGUGCUGAAGCAACAAAUGCCCUGCUUCCAGGAAAAGCCUCUAAGCAUCAGGUAACAUCAAAUCGUACCCCAAACCGACACAGGUGGUCAGGUAGAGAAUACCAAGGCGCUUGAGAGAACUCGGGUGAAGGAACUAGGCAAAAUGGUGCCGUAACUUCGGGAGAAGGCACGCUGAUAUGUAGGUGAAGCGACUUGCUCGUGGAGCUGAAAUCAGUCGAAGAUACCAGCUGGCUGCAACUGUUUAUUAAAAACACAGCACUGUGCAAACACGAAAGUGGACGUAUACGGUGUGACGCCUGCCCGGUGCCGGAAGGUUAAUUGAUGGGGUCAGCGCAAGCGAAGCUCUUGAUCGAAGCCCCGGUAAACGGCGGCCGUAACUAUAACGGUCCUAAGGUAGCGAAAUUCCUUGUCGGGUAAGUUCCGACCUGCACGAAUGGCGUAAUGAUGGCCAGGCUGUCUCCACCCGAGACUCAGUGAAAUUGAACUCGCUGUGAAGAUGCAGUGUACCCGCGGCAAGACGGAAAGACCCCGUGAACCUUUACUAUAGCUUGACACUGAACAUUGAGCCUUGAUGUGUAGGAUAGGUGGGAGGCUUUGAAGUGUGGACGCCAGUCUGCAUGGAGCCGACCUUGAAAUACCACCCUUUAAUGUUUGAUGUUCUAACGUUGACCCGUGAUCCGGGUUGCGGACAGUGUCUGGUGGGUAGUUUGACUGGGGCGGUCUCCUCCUAAAGAGUAACGGAGGAGCACGAAGGUUGGCUAAUCCUGGUCGGACAUCAGGAGGUUAGUGCAAUGGCAUAAGCCAGCUUGACUGCGAGCGUGACGGCGCGAGCAGGUGCGAAAGCAGGUCAUAGUGAUCCGGUGGUUCUGAAUGGAAGGGCCAUCGCUCAACGGAUAAAAGGUACUCCGGGGAUAACAGGCUGAUACCGCCCAAGAGUUCAUAUCGACGGCGGUGUUUGGCACCUCGAUGUCGGCUCAUCACAUCCUGGGGCUGAAGUAGGUCCCAAGGGUAUGGCUGUUCGCCAUUUAAAGUGGUACGCGAGCUGGGUUUAGAACGUCGUGAGACAGUUCGGUCCCUAUCUGCCGUGGGCGCUGGAGAACUGAGGGGGGCUGCUCCUAGUACGAGAGGACCGGAGUGGACGCAUCACUGGUGUUCGGGUUGUCAUGCCAAUGGCACUGCCCGGUAGCUAAAUGCGGAAGAGAUAAGUGCUGAAAGCAUCUAAGCACGAAACUUGCCCCGAGAUGAGUUCUCCCUGACCCUUUAAGGGUCCUGAAGGAACGUUGAAGACGACGACGUUGAUAGGCCGGGUGUGUAAGCGCAGCGAUGCGUUGAGCUAACCGGUACUAAUGAACCGUGAGGCUUAACCUUACAACGCCGAAGGUGUUU
rnacentral:rRNA from 1 species